AGAAUCAACGCUGGCAGCGUGCCUAACACAUGCAAGUCGAACGCGAAAGCCCCGCAAGGGGUAAGUAGAGUGGCAAACGGGUGAGUAACACGUGGGUGACCUGCCUUAGAGUGGGGGAUAACGUCCCGAAAGGGACGCUAAUACCGCAUAACAUCCUGCCUUUGAAGAGGUGGAGAUCAAAGCUGGGGACCGUAAGGCCUGGCGCUCAAAGAGGGGCCCGCGCCUGAUUAGCUAGUUGGUGGGUAAUGGCUCACCAAGGCAACGAUCAGUA
rnacentral:rRNA from 1 species